rnacentral:misc_RNA from 1 species
UUUCCGUAGGUGAACCUGCGGAAGGAUCAUUAAAGAGAUCAUGCCCUCACGGGUAGACCUCCCACCCUUUGUUUACAAUACCUUUGUUGCUUUGGCGGGCCCGUUUGGCCCCGCGCUGAACAACCGGCCCCGGCUGGUCAGUGCCCGCCAGAGAACCGAAAACUCUGAAUUAAAUGUCGUCUGAGUACUAUGUAAUGGUUAAAACUUUCAACAACGGAUCUCUUGGUUCUG